rnacentral:lncRNA from 12 species
ACAGACCUUGGUAUUCGAAAGUCUUCUUAAAUUUUAGUUUUAAUUUAUCUCGUCAUUAUCCAAAAUUCGUCCAUUCUGGUGGAUCCGAGGAAGGAGCGAAGGAUUUGGUAAGUGUGGACAAUAGGCGUGUGGCGCUUCAGGACCGCGUUGUGUCAAUCUUUUCGUCUCUGCAGUGCAGCGAGGUGAUGUGCAGCGACCAAACCCGGACCCACAGCAUGUCCAAACCGAUUAGGGGUCAGGGACGACUGAAGCAAGACCUCUGCAAUUAUAUUCCUCACAGCAGCCUCCAUCCAAAAAUAUGAACUCUAAAUCCCAGACUAACUCAACUAAUCUAAAACAGUUGACUUAUGGGUAAAUAAAGAGUUCAGGAAUGAUUAUCAGUCCAUUAGUGUAACCAAGUCAAAUGAAACGCUCCUGUGCGCAUAAAAGCGAACAUAAUCCAGUAGCUUCAAUAUUGACCAACAACAUUUUUUUCAUGACUUUCCAACUCUGCCGAAGACUGGCAAGAGAUAUUCGAUUGCGGUUAUAGAUCUCGUAGUCCCAUCACUGGAACAGCUGUUAUUUCUCCCCUAAACCCGAUAAUCAAACACAGACAAGGCGACCUCUUAGGACUCGCAUACCAGACCAAGGAUUAACAGUCUUUUAUAUUCAAAUGUAACUAUACCAGACGACUAAAUCAGAACAAGCAUUUAUUUAUAAAAUAACAUACUUAUAUAUUUAUUACAAUAACAUAACAUUUUGUUUGCAUUUGAGAUGAAAAAUUUGCUACUGAGUUAGGAAGGAAAGCAAGAAAUCACCGCGAUGAUGACACACCACCACGAUGCAAUUUGUUUCCCCCCAAUGGAAAGCGAUAUGCUUAUAGGCCUAAUCAACACUUAAAUUUAUAAUAACUUUAUAUUAUCUUAUACAAAAGAUAGCCGUUCUUGAUGCAGGUAAACAUCAACAAAAACCACAAGAAUAGCCUAUCUACGUCAUUAUCUCAGCGACAGCCAACCAAAGAGCAAUGACAAGAAAUUAUUAUUAUUCCCUGCUGGGCACGAAUGGAAACGAGCAGUCUUUGAGAGUGGUCGCUCUAGUUUAGAUUAAUGGUUCCCAGCGCUUAUUCUGCAGUGCGGGUGAAAGGGCCAGGAUCACUAAUGAUUAUAAUAUAAUGUGUGGUGAUAACCACUCCCUUU